rnacentral:lncRNA from 1 species
UACUUUAACACCAGAGCAGAGUAUUUAUUUACAAACACUUCAAACUCUACUUUAACACCAGAGCAGAGUAUUUAUUUACAAACAUUCAAACUCUACUUUAACACCAGAGCAGAGUAUUUAUUUACAAACACUUCAAACUCUACUUUAACACUAGAGCAGAGAAUUUAUUUACAAACACUUCAAACUCUACUUUAACACUAGAGCAGAGAAUUUAUUUACAAACACUUCAAACUCUACUUUAACACUAGAGCAGAGAAUUUAUUUACAAACACUUCAAACUCUACUUUAACACCAGAGCAGAGUAUUUAUUUACAAACACUUCAAACUCUACUUUAACACUAGAGCAGAGAAUUUAUUUACAAACACUUCAAACUCUACUUUAACACCAGAGCAGAGUAUUUAUUUACAAACACUUCAAACUCUACUUUAACACUAGAGCAGAGCAUUUAUUUACAAACACUUCAAACUCUACUUUAACACCAGAGCAGAGUAUUUAUUUACAAACACUUCAAACUCUACUUUAACACUAGAGCAGAGUAUUUAUUUUUUCUGAACACUACAAAUCAAACAUUCUAAUGACUGAACGGUUAAAAGUCGGACUUUUUCGGUGCAGAAUGAGUUCAAGUGUGACUUCAUGGCAGAACUGCACAGUCAGAUGACAGGAGUUCAGGGUCAACUCUAAUUUUAAUAUGUAUUUCUGUAUAUAUUUUUUGUUAAACUCUGUGUUCGUUCAUGCGUUAAAUGUUACGACGUGUCACUAGCAUGUUGUUUUCUUUUUUAUUACAGACUACAGAUGAACUUGUGAUGGAAUUUGAGCUGCUUGAGAGUACAGACACAAGUCAUGAAUACCUGACCAAUGGCAUCCUGAUGGUGAGGCGGAGCUUUGAUUUUUUAUUAAUUAAUUAAUUAAUUUAUUUAUUUAUUUUGAACAUGCAAAGAAACAAAAUAAAACGAAGCAAAUUAAGAUAAAAACAAAAAAAACUUUAAAUGAACAGAAUCUGUCUUCGAGCACAAACCAGUCUGAAUUUUACAAAAGGAGUAGAAGAAGAAACUGUUAAGUUUUAACAAUGAAUGCACCUUCAUUUGACUGGAAAUGAUUAAAGCAACCACAUGGUAUUUUUAAUUAUCAUAUUAAUGAGACAGUGAUUGGGCUUUAAAAUACUAUAAAAAUGUAGUAGUAGGAGUUUAAAU